rnacentral:rRNA from 1 species
UGAGGAAUAUUGCACAAUGGGCGAAAGCCUGAUGCAGCAACGCCGCGUGCGGGACGAAGGCCUUCGGGUUGUAAACCGCUUUUCUGAGGGACGAGCAAGGACGGUACCUCAGGAAUAAGUCUCGGCUAACUACGUGCCAGCAGCCGCGGUAAAACGUAGGAGGCGAGCGUUAUCCGGAUUUACUGGGCGUAACGCGCACGCAGGUGGCCGUGUAAGUCGGACAUGAAAGCUCCUGGCUUAACUGGGAGAGGUGGUUCGAAACUGCAGGGCUUGAGGUUGGGAGAGGGACGUGGAAUUCCCGGUGUAGUGGUGGAAUGCGUAGAUAUCGGGAGGAACACCAGUGGCGCAAGCGGCGUCCUGGCCCACACCUGACGCUGAGGUGCGAAAGCGUGGGGAGCAAACA